rnacentral:rRNA from 1 species
CAGGCCUAACACAUGCAAGUCGAGCGGGGGAGCAAUCCCUAGCGGCGAACGGGUGCGANACACGUAGGAACCUACCCUUGAGUGGGGGAUAUACCAGGGAAACUUGGAGCAAUACCGCAUGACCUCGUGAGAGCAAAGCAGGGGAUCGUAAGACCUUGCGCUCUUGGAGGGGCCUACGUCCGAUUAGCUAGUUGGUAGGGUAAUGGCCUACCAAGGCGACGAUCGGUAGCUGGUCUGAGAGGAUGAUCAGCCACACUGGGACUGAGACACGGCCCAGACUCCUACGGGAGGCAGCAGUGGGGAAUAUUGGACAAUGGGCGAAAGCCUGAUCCAGCAAUUCCGCGUGGGUGAUGAAGGCCUUCGGGUUGUAAAGCCCUUUCGGCCGGGAAGAAAUAGCUCUGGCUAACAUCCAGAGUGUUGACGGUAUCGGAGGAAGAAGCACCGGCUAACUUUGUGCCAGCAGCCGCGGU